rnacentral:rRNA from 1 species
GACGAACGCUGGCGGCGUGCUUAACACAUGCAAGUCGAACGAUGAAGCGGUGCUUGCACCGUGGAUUAGUGGCGAACGGGUGAGUAACACGUGAGUAACCUGCCCUGGACUCUGGGAUAACCCCGAGAAAUCGGAGCUAAUACCGGAUAUGACUUCGCACCGCAUGGUGUGGGGUGGAAAGUUUUUUCGGUCUGGGAUGGACUCGCGGCCUAUCAGCUUGUUGGUGAGGUAAUGGCUCACCAAGGCGUCGACGGGUAGCCGGCCUGAGAGGGUGACCGGCCACACUGGGACUGAGACACGGCCCAGACUCCUACGGGAGGCAGCAGUGGGGAAUAUUGCACAAUGGGCGCAAGCCUGAUGCAGCAACGCCGCGUGAGGGAUGACGGCCUUCGGGUUGUAAACCUCUUUUAGUAAGGAAGAAGGGGAGCUUGCUCCUUGACGGUACUUGCAGAAAAAGGACCGGCUAACUACGUGCCAGCCGCCGCCGUAAUAC